CAGGAUUAGAUACCCCGGUAGUCCACGCCCUAAACGAUGAACACUAGUCGUCGGGAUGCUUGUCAUSUCGGUGAUGCACUUAACAGAUUAAGUGUUCCGCCUGGGGAGUACGGUCGCAAGAUUAAAACUCAAAGGAAUAGACGGGGACCCGCACAAGUGGUGGAGCAUGUGGUUUAAUUCGAAGAUACGCGAAGAACCUUACCUAGCCUUGACAUUGAAARAACACCYUAGAGAUAGAGUGGUGCCCUUCGGGGAACUUGAAAACAGGUGCUGCACGGCUGUCGUCAGCUCGUGUCGUGAGAUGUUGGGUUAAGUCCCGCAACGAGCGCAACCCUCGUCCUUAGUUGCCAGCAGGUUAWGCUGGGCACUYUAAGGAGACUGCCUUCGCAAGGAGGAGGAAGGUGAGGACGACGUCAAGUCAUCAUGGCCCUUAUGGCUAGGGCUACACACGUGCUACAAUGGGGCGUACAGAGUGUUGCGAUACCGCGAGGUGGAGCCAAUCACUUAAAGCGUCUCUCAGUUCGGAUUGAAGUCUGCAACUCGACUUCAUGAAGCUGGAAUCACUAGUAAUCGUAGAUCAGCAAUGCUACGGUGAAUACGUUCCCGGGUCUUGUACACACCG
rnacentral:rRNA from 1 species